rnacentral:tRNA from 1 species
GCUGAUGUAGCUCAGUGGUAGAGCACUUCCUUGGUAAGGAAGAGGUCAUGAGUUCAAUCCUCAUCAUCAGCU